rnacentral:rRNA from 1 species
UACAGAGGUCUCAAGCGUUGUUCGGAUUCAUUGGGCGUAAAGGGUGUGUAGGUGGCGCCGUAAGUCGGGUGUGAAAUUUCGGAGCUUAACUCCGAAACUGCAUUCGAUACUGCGGUGCUUGAGGACUGGAGAGGAGACUGGAAUUCAUAGUGUAGCAGUGAAAUGCGUAGAGAUCAUGAGGAAGACCAGUGGCGAAGGCGGGUCUCUGGACAGUUCCUGACACUGAGACACGAAGGCCAGGGGAGCAAACGGGG